CCUACGGGAGGCUGCAGUGGGGAAUAUUGGACAAUGGGCGAAAGCCUGAUCCAGCCAUGCCGCGUGUGUGAAGAAGGCCUUCGGGUUGUAAAGCACUUUCAGUGGGGAAGAAAGCCUUGGGGCUAAUACCCUCGAGGAAGGACAGCACCCACAGAAGAAGCACCGGCUAACUCCGUGCCAGCAGCCGCGGUAAUACGGAGGGUGCGAGCGUUAAUCGGAAUUACUGGGCGUAAAGCGCGCGUAGGCGGUCUGAUAAGCCGGUUGGGAAAGCCCCGGGCGCAACCUGGGAACGGCAUCCGGAACUGUCAGGCUUGAGUGCAGCAGAGGAAGGUAGAAUUCCCGGUGUAGCGGUGAAAUGCGUAGAGAUCGGGAGGAAUACCAGUGGCGAAGGCGGCCUUCUGGACUGACACUGACGCUGAGGUGCGAAAGCGUGGGUAGCAAACAGGAUUAGAUACCCUGGUAGUC
rnacentral:rRNA from 1 species